rnacentral:rRNA from 1 species
ACUCAAAGGAAUAGACGGGGGCCCGCACAAGCGGUGGAGCAUGUGGUUUAAUUCGACGCAACGCGAAGAACCUUACCUGGGUUUGACAUGCAUUUGACUGGUAGUGAAAACUACCUUCUCUUUGGAGCGAGUGCACAGGUGCUGCAUGGCUGUCGUCAGCUCGUGUCGUGAGAUGUUGGGUUAAGUCCCGCAACGAGCGCAACCCUUGCCCUUUGUUGCUACCAGGUUAUGCUGGGCACUCUGAGGGGACUGCCCCGGUGAACGGGGAGGAAGGUGGGGAUGACGUCAAGUCCUCAUGGCCUUUAUGCCCAGGGCUACACACGUGCUACAAUGGCGAAGACAAUGGGUUGCUCCCGUGUAAGCGGUUGCCAAUCCCAAAAACUUCGUCCCAGUUCGGAUGGUUGGCUGCAACUCGCCGGCCUGAAGCUGGAAUCGCUAGUAAUCGGAGAUCAGCACGCUCCGGUGAAUACGUUCCCGGGCCUUGUACACACCGCCCGU